CCUACGGGGGGCAGCAGUCGGGAAUAUUGCGCAAUGGAGGAAACUCUGACGCAGUGACGCCGCGUGCAGGAAGAAGGUUUUCGGAUUGUAAACUGCUUUAGACAGGGAAGAAACAAGACAGUACCUGUAAAAUAAGCUCCGGCUAACUACGUGCCAGCAGCAGCGGUAAUACGUAGGGAGCAAGCGUUAUCCGGAUUUAUUGGGUGUAAAGGGUGCGUAGGUGGUUUGGCAAGUUAGUAGCGUAACUCCAAGGCUCAACCUUGGAACUACUACUAAAACUGUUGGACUUGAGUGCAGGAGGGGCAACCGGAAUUCCUAGUGUAGCGGUGGAAUGCGUAGAUAUUAGUAGGAACACCAGUGGCGAAGGCGGGUUGCUAGACUGUAACUGACACUGAGGCACGAAAGCGUGGGGAGCAAACAGGAUUAGAUACCCUAGUAGUC
rnacentral:rRNA from 1 species